GCNACCAUGCAGUCGGACGGUAGCACAGAGAACUUGGUCUCGCGUGAGAAGUGUGGGAGAGGGGAGUAAAGUGUGGGGAUCUGCCCCAUAUAGGGGGAGAUCCCCUGGAAACGGUGGGGAAAACCCCACAACGUCUCACGACCCAAAAGGGGGACCUUCUGGCCUCUCACUAUCUGAUGAGCCCCCAUGGGAUUAUCUCUUAUGCGGGGUAUUGGGCCCCCUAUGCGACAAUACCUAUCUGGGCUGAGAGGAGGACCCCCCCCACUGUGACUGAGACACGGUCCCCACACCNNCUACAGGGAGGCAGCCACUGGGGAAAUAUUGCACAAUGGGCGCACGCCUGAGGCAGCACCUGCGCCGUGUGUAAAAAAAGCCUUNCUGGUUGUAAAGUACUUUUUCAGCGGGAGAAAAGCGGUGCGGUUAUAAACCCCGCCCAUAGACGAUUACCCCCACAAAAAACACCGGCUAAAUCUCGUGCCAGCAACCCCCGGUAAUACAGAGGGGGCAAGCGUUAAUCGCAAAUUACUAGGGCGUAAAGCGCACGCAGCGCGGUCUGUGAUAGUCACAUAUGAAAUCCCCGGGCUCAUACCUGGGAACUGCAUUUGAAACUGUGGCAGGCUUGAGUCUCGUAGAGAGGGGUAGAAUUCUCAGUGUGUAGCGGUGAAAUGCGUAGAGAUCUGGAGGAAAAUACCGGUGGCGAAAGCGGCCCCCCUGGACAAAAACAGACGACUCACGUGCGAAAGCGUGGGGAGCAAACACGAGUAGAUAUCCCGGGUAGUCCACGCCCCAAACAAUAUCGACAUGGAGGUUGUUCCCUUGUGAAGAGUGGCUUCCGCAGCUAACACGUUAUAGUCGACCCCCCUGGGGGAGUACGGCCCCAACGGUGAUAACACUCAAAUGNAGAUUGUCACGGGCCCCCGCACCAAGCCGGUGGAGCAUGUGGUGUUAAUUACUGAUGCGACACGCGAAGAAACCNUUAUCACUACUCCUCGACAUCCACCCGCAACGGAGCAGNAGAUNCCGCCCCCGGUGCNUCUUCGGAAAACGCUGCAAAAGAACAGGUGCUGCAUNGGCUGUCCGUCCACCNUCGUGUUGGUGAAAAUGUUNNGGGUUAAGNUCCCGCAACGAGCGNCAACACCCUUAUCCNUUUGUUUGUNNCCAGCGAUNNUNCGGCUCGGGAACUCANAAGAGAAAAUNNNGCCGGUGAUAAACCGGAGGAAAAGUGGGGANUAGNACGUCAAGUCAUNNCAUUGGCCUCUCUACAGNAGAUAGGGGUCUNACACANNNCGUGCUACAAUGGCGCAUACAAAGAGAAGCGACCUCGCGAGAGCAAGCGGACCUCACAAAGUGCGUCGUAGUCCGGAUCGGAGUCUGCAACUCGACUCCGUGAAGUCGGAAUCGCUAGUAAUCGUGGAUCAGAAUGCCACGGUGAAUACGUUCCCGGGCCUUGUACACACCGCCCGUCACACCAUGGGAGUGGGUUGCAAAAGAAGUAGGUAGCUUAACCUUCGGGAGGGCGCUACCACUUGAUNA
rnacentral:rRNA from 1 species